rnacentral:tRNA from 1 species
UUAAUUGAAGCUAAAAAGAAGCAUUUCACUGUUAAUGAAAAAAAUGGUAUACCCCAAUUAAA